GUGCUCGAUUCCACAGCACACAUGCUAAAAUUGGAGCGAUACAGAGAAGAUUAGCAUG
ensembl:snRNA U6 U6 spliceosomal RNA